rnacentral:rRNA from 1 species
AGGAUUGAACCUGACAAGUUAGCUUGGAGGGUUUGAUCCUGGCUCAGGGUGAACGCUGGCGGCGUGCCUAACACAUGCAAGUCGAGCGGUGCGGCUGGAGGCUUUUGCUGAAGGCUGCACAGCGGCGGACGGGUGCGUAACGCGUAGGAACGUGCCCCUCGGAGGCGGAUAGCCGCGGGAAACUGCGGGUAAACCGCCAUACGCUCGGGAGAGGAAAGGCCGAAAGGCGCCGAGGGAGCGGCCUGCGUCCCAUCAGGUAGUUGGUGGGGUAAUGGCCCACCAAGCCGACGACGGGUAGCCGGUCUGAGAGGAUGGCCGGCCACAAGGGCACUGAGACACGGGCCCUACUCCUACGGGAGGCAGCAGUGGGGGAUCUUGGACAAUGGGCGAAAGCCUGAUCCAGCGACGCCGCGUGGAGGAAGAAGCCCUUCGGGGUGUAAACUCCUUUUGUCGGGGAAAAAGGUCUGAUGGUACCCGACGAAUAAGCCCCGGCUAACUACGUGCCAGCAGCCGCGGUAAUACGUAGGGGGCGAGCGUUACCCGGAAUUACUGGGCGUAAAGGGUGCGUAGGCGGCCCCGUGUGUCCGGUGUAAAAGCCCACGGCUCAACCGUGGAUAUGCGCUGGAAACUGCGGGGCUUGGGUGCGGCAGAGGCAGACGGAACUGCUGGUGUAGGGGUGAAAUCCGUAGAUAUCAGCAGGAACGCCGGUGGAGAAGUCGGUCUGCUGGGCCGUAACCGACGCUGAGGCACGAAAGCUAGGGGAGCGAACCGGAUUAGAUACCCGGGUAGUCCUAGCCGUAAACGAUGCUCACUAGGUGUGGGGCGUAAAGCUCCGUGCUGAAGCUAACGCGUUAAGUGAGCCGCCUGGGGAGUACGCCCGCAAGGGUGAAACUCAAAGGAAUUGACGGGGGCCCGCACAAGCGGUGGA